rnacentral:rRNA from 1 species
AUUGAACGCUGGCGGCAGGCCUAACACAUUCAAGUCGAGCGGAGCGGCGGACGGGUGAGUAAUGCCUAGGAAUCUGCCUGGUAGUGGGGGAUAACUCCCGGCAACGGGCGCUAAUACCGCAUACUAUCAGAUGAGCCUAGGUCGGAUUAGCUAGUUGGUGGGGUAAAGGCCUACCAAGGCGACGAUCCCUAACUGGUCUGAGAGGAUGAUCAGUCACACUGAAACUGAGACAGGGUCCAGACUCCUACGGGAGGCAGCAGUGGGGAAUAUUGGCGAAUGGGCGAAAGCCUGAUCCAGCCAUGCCGCGUGUGUGAAGAAGGUCUUCGGAUUUUAAAGCACUUUAAGUUGGGAGGCGUUACAGACAGAGUAAGCGCCGGCUAACUUCGUGCCAGCAGCAGCGGUAAUUC